rnacentral:rRNA from 1 species
AACGAACGCUGGCGGCAGGCCUAACACAUGCAAGUUGAACGCCCAGUUUACUGGGAGUAGCGCACGGGUGCGUAACACGUGGGAAUAUGCCCUUAGGUAAGGAAUAACGUCUGGAAACGGCCGCUAAUACCUUAUAAUGACUCCGGUCCAAAGAUUUAUCGCCUAGGGAUUAGCCCGUGUCUGAUUAGAUAGUUGGUGAGGUAAUGGCUCACCAAGUCGACGAUCAGUAGGGGGUCUGAGAGGAUGAUCCCCCACACUGGAACUGAGACACGGUCCAGACUCCUACGGGAGGCAGCAGUGAGGAAUAUUGGACAAUGGGGGAAACCCUGAUCCAGCCAUGCCGCGUGAGUGAAGAAGGUCUUCGGGUUGUAAAGCUCUUUCAGAUGCGAAGAUAAUGACGGUAACAUCAGAAGAAGCCCCGGCUAAAUUCG